UAAAAGCUUGCUUUUAAAAGUCAGCGGCGGACGGGUGAGUAACACGUGGGCAACCUGCCUGUAAGACUGGGAUAACUUCGGGAAACCGGAGCUAAUACCGGAUACGUUCUUCUCUCGCAUGAGAGAAGAUGGAAAGAUGGUUUCGGCUAUCACUUACAGAUGGGCCCGCGGCGCAUUAGCUAGUUGGUGGGGUAAUGGCCCACCAAGGCGACGAUGCGUAGCCGACCUGAGAGGGUGAUCGGCCACACUGGGACUGAGACACGGCCCAGACUCCUACGGGAGGCAGCAGUAGGGAAUCUUCCGCAAUGGACGAAAGUCUGACGGAGCAACGCCGCGUGAACGAUGAAGGCUUUCGGGUCGUAAAGUUCUGUUGUUAGGGAAGAA
rnacentral:rRNA from 1 species